rnacentral:rRNA from 1 species
ACGAACGCUGGCGGCAGGCCUAACACAUGCAAGUCGAACGAAGUCUUCGGACUUAGUGGCGCACGGGUGAGUCACACGUGGGAAUAUACCUUACGCUGGGGGAUAACAUCGGGAAACUGAUGCUAAUACCGCAUACGCCCUUCGGGGGAAAGAUUUAUCGGCGAAAGAUUAGCCCGCGUCCGAUUAGCUAGUUGGUGAGGUAAUGGCUCACCAAGGCUCCGAUCGGUAGCUGGUCUGAGAGGAUGACCAGCCACACUGGGACUGAGACACGGCCCAGACUCCUACGGGAAGCAGCAGUGGGGAAUAUUGGACAAUGGGCGCAAGCCUGAUCCAGCCAUGCCGCGUGAGUGAUGAAGGCCUUAGGGUUGUAAAGCUCUUUCACCCACGACGAUGAUGACGGUAGUGGGAGAAGAAGCCCCGGCUAACUUCGUG